rnacentral:misc_RNA from 1 species
GAUGAAGAACGUAGUGAAAUGCGAUAAGUAGUGUGAAUUGCAGAAUUCAGUGAAUCAUCGAAUCUUUGAACGCACAUUGCGCCCCAUGGUAUUCCGUGGGGCAUGCCUGUUCGAGCGUCAUUUACCCCCUCAAGCUCCGCUUGGUGUUGGGCGUCUGUCCCGCUUCGCGCGCGGACUCGCCCCAAAGGUAUUGGCAGCGGUCGUGCCAGCUUCUCGCGCAGCACAUUGCGCUUCUCGAGGCACCGGUGGGCCCGCGUCCAUCAAGCUCUCCCCCCCAGUUUGACCUCGGAUCAGGUAGGGAUACCCGCUGAACUUAAGCAUAUCAAUAAGCGGAGGA